CCUACGGGUGGCAGCAGUGGGGAAUAUUGGACAAUGGGCGAAAGCCUGAUCCAGCCAUGCCGCGUGUGUGAAGAAGGCCUUCGGGUUGUAAAGCACUUUCAGUGGGGAAGAAAGCCUUGGGGCUAAUACCCUCGAGGAAGGACAUCACCCACAGAAGAAGCACCGGCUAACUCCGUGCCAGCAGCCGCGGUAAUACGGAGGGUGCGAGCGUUAAUCGGAAUUACUGGGCGGAAAGCGCGCGUAGGCGGUCUGAUAAGCCGGUUGGGAAAGCCCCGGGCUCAACCUGGGAACGGCAUCCGGAACUGUCAGGCUAGAGUGCAGGAGAGGAAGGUAGAAUUCCCGGUGUAGCGGUGAAAUGCGUAGAGAUCGGGAGGAAUACCAGUGGCGAAGGCGGCCUUCUGGACUGACACUGACGCUGAGGUGCGAAAGCGUGGGUAGCAAACAGGAUUAGAUACCCGAGUAGUC
rnacentral:rRNA from 1 species